rnacentral:rRNA from 1 species
GGUUGAUCCUGCCAGACCCGACUGCUAUCCGGGUAGGACUAAGCCAUGCAAGUCUAUGGACCUUCGGGUCCAUGGCGAACUGCUCAGUAACACGUGAUCAACUUACCCUAUGGUGGGGCAUAACCUCGGGAAACUGAGGAUAAUUCCCCAUAGUCGAGGAGGCCUGGAACGGUUCCUCGACGAAAGACCGUCCCUCUGGGGCGGAUCGCCAUAGGAUAGGAUCGCGCCCGAUUAUGGUUGUUGGUGGGGUAACGGCCCACCAAGCCUAUUAUCGGUAGGGGCCGUGAGAGCGGGAGCCCCGAGAUGGGCACUGAGACAAUGGCCCAGGCCUUACGAGGCGCAGCAGGCGCGAAACCUUCACAAUGCGCGAAAGCGUGAUGAAGUUACCAGGAGUGCCCCU